rnacentral:sRNA from 1 species
UGAUGUCCCAGGGUCGGAAGUAGAAAAGCUGUUCGUGCUUGCACGAAAAAGCUUUUAUAUUUCCGACCCGCCCAAACAUGAGAAAGAAGCGAUUUACGAA